rnacentral:tRNA from 1 species
GGCUUAGUGGUUAAGAGCACUGGGCUCCUCAUCCAGAGGACCAGGGUUCAAUUCCCAG